AUUUCUGUUGUCAAUGAUGUCAAUUAGUGGACUGAAUCAAUGUGAUUGUAUAUAACAUUUCGUCACUACCACUGAGACAACAGAGAA
rnacentral:snoRNA from 1 species